rnacentral:lncRNA from 1 species
GGUAUUUAAUUUGGAUUUGAAAAACUAUAUUUUUUCAAAUGGUUACAUUGCCCUAAAAGGCAUUUAUAGGGAAAAAUUGAUUUUAGCUAUUUUAUUUUGGAGGGAACUUUGUCCCAAAAGUUGAAUCAUGAUAAAACAUGAUUUUACAAAUUUUCUGGAAUUUAUUUGGACCACUUUGGAGUUCAAAAUCAAAAGUUAGAAGGGAAUUACAGUAAAAGAAAAAGAGAAAAGGCUAAAAGGAAAAAAAAAAGGAGAAACGGACCGGCCCGGCCGAAUUGGGCCGAACCAGCCCAUUCCCCCACGCGCGCCAGAGCCAGCCCAGCCAGCCCAGCAGCGCCCGCGCCCGUCGCUGACAGGUGGGGCCCACCUGUCAGGCUUCGUCCCGGAUGGAAAGCGGCGUCACGCCGCCGAAUCCGCGCCGGACUCGCCGCGCCGCCAUCUCCGGAAUCCGCUGAUUCCGUGCUUCCCGAAGUUGUCCGAGCACACCCCUAUAAAGCCCAGCCUCCCCUCUCUCUUUCCCCUCUGUUUGCCCUCAUUCUCACGCGCCCACGUCGCCGGAUUUACUCGCCGGAGCAAGGAACCCCACCGCCGCCAUUUCGCUUCGGGUCGACAUCGCUGGUGAGCCUCCCCGCCCGAGACCUAAAAUUUCUGGACCGCCUCGACAUUGCGCCCGUUUCGACGCGCACAGAUUCGUCCUUGGUGCACUCUA